rnacentral:tRNA from 1 species
UGGGGGAUCGUCCAAUGGCAGGACAGCGGCCUUUGGAGUCGCCGAUAGAGGUUCGAAUCCUCUUCCCCCAGCCA